AACGAACGCUGGCGGCAUGCCUAACACAUGCAAGUCGAACGAGACCUUCGGGUCUUGUGGCGCACGGGUGCGUAACGCGUGGGAACCUGCCCUUAGGUUCGGAAUAACUCCCCGAAAGGGGUGCUAAUACCGGAUAAUGUCUUCGGACCAAAGAUUUAUCGCCUUUGGAUGGGCCCGCGUUGGAUUCGCUAGUUGGUAGGGUAAAAGCCUACCAAGGCGACGAUCCAUAGCUGGUCUGAGAGGAUGAUCAGCCACACUGGGACUGAGACACGGCCCAGACUCCUACGGGAGGCAGCAGUGGGGAAUAUUGGACAAUGGGCGAAAGCCUGAUCCAGCAAUGCCGCGUGAGUGAUGAAGGCCUUAGGGUUGUAAAGCUCUUUUACCCGGGCUGAUAAUGACAGUACCGGGAGAAUAAGCUCCGGCUAACUCCGUG
rnacentral:rRNA from 1 species